rnacentral:rRNA from 1 species
CUUCGGUGCUAGUGGCAGACGGGUGAGUAACACGUGGGAACGUACCUUUCGGUUCGGAAUAAUUCAGGGAAACUUGGACUAAUACCGGAUACGCCCUUCGGGGGAAAGAUUUAUCGCCGAUAGAUCGGCCCGCGUCUGAUUAGCUAGUUGGUGAGGUAAUGGCUCACCAAGGCGACGAUCAGUAGCUGGUCUGAGAGGAUGAUCAGCCACAUUGGGACUGAGACACGGCCCAAACUCC